rnacentral:rRNA from 1 species
UAUACAGCGAAACUGCGAAUGGCUCAUUAUAUAAGUUAUCGUUUAUUUGAUAGUGCCUUACUACUUGGAUAACCGUGGUAAUUCUAGAGCUAAUACAUGCUAAAAACCCCGACUUCGGAAGGGGUGUAUUUAUUAGAUACAAAACCAAUGCCCUUCGGGGCUCUUUGGUGAUUCAUGAUAACUAUACGAAUCGCACGGCCUUGCGCCGGCGAUGGUUCAUUCAAAUUUCUUCCCUAUCAGCUUUCGAUGUUUGGGUAUUGGCCAAACAUGGUUGCAACGGGUAACGGAGGGUUAGGGCUCGACCCCGGAGAAGGAGCCUGAGAAACGGCUACUACAUCCAAGGAAGGCAGCAGGCGCGCAAAUUACCCAAUCCCGACUCGGGGAGGUAGUGACAAUAAAUACUGAUACAGGGCCCUUUCGGGCCUUGUAAUUGGAAUGAGUACAAUUUAAAUCCCUUAACGAGGAACAAUUGGAGGGCAAGUCUGGUGCCAGCAGCCGCGGUAAUUCCAGCUCCAAUAGCGUAUAU